GAUGAACGCUAGCGGCGUGCCUAAUGCAUGCAAGUCGAACGGGAUCCUUGGAUUCGUCUGAGGUGAGAGUGGCGAACGGGUGAGUAACACGUUGGUGACCUACCCCAAAGAGGGGGACAACCACUGGAAACGGUGGCUAAUACCCCAGAUGUCAUUGAGUUUAGAAAUCAAUGACUAAAGCUCCGGCGCUUUGGGAGGGGCCUGCGGUCCAUCAGCUAGUUGGUAAGGUAAUGGCUUACCAAGGCAAAGACGGAUAGGGGGCGUGAGAGCGUGACCCCCCACACUGGUACUGAGACACGGACCAGAUACCUGCGGGUAGCAGCAGCAAGGAAUAUUGCGCAAUGGGCGAAAGCCUGACGCAGCAACGCCGCGUGGAGGAUGAAGGCCUUCGGGUUGUAAACUCCUUUUCUGGGGGAAGAGAAAGGACG
rnacentral:rRNA from 1 species